rnacentral:rRNA from 1 species
GACGGGGCCGCACAAGCGGUGGAGUAUGUGGUUAAUUCGAUGCAACGCGAAGAACCUUACCUGGUCUUGACAUCCCGGAGACCCUUAGGAAACUAGGGGGUGCUUCCAUCUGGAAGAAUCUGGAGACAGGUGCUGCAUGGCUGUCGUCAGCUCGUGUCGUGAGAUGUUGGGUUAAGUCCCGCAACGAGCGCAACCCUUGCCUUUAGUUGCCAGCAGUUCGGCUGGGCACUCUAAAGGGACUGCCGGUGUUAAACCGGAGGAAGGUGGGGAUGACGUCAAGUCCUCAUGGCCUUUAUGACCAGGGCUACACACGUACUACAAUGGCCGAUACAAAGGGCAGCGACACUGCGAGGUGAAGCCAAUCCCGUAAAAUCGGUCUCAGUCCGGAUUGGAGUCUGCAACUCGACUCCAUGAAGUUGGAAUCGCCAGUAAUCGUGGAUCAGCAUGCCACGGUGAAUACGUUCCCGGGCCUU